GCUGGUAGCCACUAGAGGGGAGGAGACUGCCGGCUUUACUGAGCGCUCCAGCUACAGCUUGAAGGUGCAGAGGCUGUCACCAGACUGGUUGCCCAACGAAAUGGUUUAAAAUAUGUUAUGAAGGUGGCAUGCUGUGGUCUGUGGUGGGGUAUGAAUUCUGCUGAAGUCCGUGCGCUUUGCAGCUGAGCUGCUUCUUCUCACACCAGGAAAAGAGGCCAUUUUGAUAACCAAUUUCUUUCUACAACUGCUGGAAAAGGUGCUGCAGGAUCACUGGAAUAGAAAUGCAGGACGUGAAGCUUAGCUGGGAAUGGCUGAGGAGAUGUUUUCAUCGUAUCGGUGCUAUUUAUACCAUUUAAAUCCUGCUUCUUACUGGGAUACUACUAUGAUUCUUCUCUCCUCUUGCUUUGCCCACACCCUCUCAUCAAACAGUCAAGGCAAUCAGAGAGUAUUUUGUGCUGUAAAGGCUGAUCCAGUGAUAAAUGUUGAUUCUUCAGUUCUUUUUAGUGAAAAAGUAAAAGAUUUUUUGCAGAUAAUGACAUUCUGGGGCAAAAAAAAAAAAAGUAACUGGCAGCAGAUAGUGAAAAAUGGUCUUAUCUGAGUACUUAAAUUAAUUCCAUUUUAAUAUGUAUCUGAAAUAAUCUCUUAAAAAAAGUCCAGUGAUUGACCCCUUGCCUGCAUACAAAGUAAAGAACAGCACAAUAAAAUGAUGGCAUAAAUGAGAAGAAAAACACACAUCCCUUGUUUACAUUUAUGCAUUAUACUGCCUACAUGUAUGCAUAGCGAUGACUGAACGGUCUUAAAGGAUUAAUGCAUAUGCAAGUUCUUCAUUUUUAUUAAAUCAUUAAUUUUCUGUGAAACAAGAACAGAAAGAAAGCAUUCAAUAUAGAACUGAUAAAGCAAACCCUUUACUUAUUGUUUUCCAUAUGUAUUUAAGCAGGAUUUCCAGGUGUGUUCUUGAAAAUAAACCUACUUCUGUCAGACAAAAUGGUAAAAUUUGUACAAAGUUUUAAAAAUCAGUAUUUGAAUUUAAAAUAUUGCAUUUGGUGCCAUUUGAAGUAAAAUUGUUGACCAUACAUCUGAAUAAGAUUCAGAAAUUAAUUUCUUCUGGGCCUCAGAAAGAGAAAAUGGGUGCUUAUGAUGUGACAGCAGAUUGAGUGUAUACAUGGAUGUUGUUAUUUUUGUGUUUCUCUCCCCCCAACAAAAAAAAAAAUUACAUGAACAUGAGAAUCUCUAACAGGCUAAAAUGUAGCAAAAAUAAUACAGGCUUAAUAUAUUUAAAAAUGUUUUUUAAGUAAUGGGGAAUGCUUUAUACCAUUGUAGUGUUGAAUACAGCAUUAGUUCUCUAUGGCGAAACAUGCAAAAUUCAUGAAAAGAAAAAAUAAUGUGAUUGUCUUAACGCUGUUUUGUGCAUGUGCCUUGCAAUAAAGAUAUUUAAAUAC